rnacentral:ribozyme from 1 species
UGCCCAGCAAAUCCUAUCGCUACCUCCUCGUGGUACGGGUAACCUUAGGGAAGAUCGGGUAACCCCGUAUGCUGACAGGGAAGG